rnacentral:rRNA from 1 species
CCCCCGANCAGCCGUGUACUCCGAAUGCCUUAGAUUAAAGUUUGAUCAUGGCUCAGNACUUGAGCGNCUAGCGGCAGGCCUAACACAUGCAAGUCGAACGGUAAUAGUGAAGCAGCUUGCUGCUUCGCUGACGAGUGGCGGACGGGUGAGUAAUGUCUGGGAAACUGCCUGAUGGAGGGGGAUAACUACUGGAAACGGUAGCUAAUACCGCAUAACGUCGCAAGACCAAAGAGGGGGACCUUCGGGCCUCUUGCCAUCGGAUGUGCCCAGAUGGGAUUAGCUAGUAGGUGGGGUAACGGCUCACCUAGGCGACGAUCCCUAGCUGGUCUGAGAGGAUGACCAGCCACACUGGAACUGAGACACGGUCCAGACUCCUACGGGAGGCAGCAGUGGGGAAUAUUGCACAAUGGGCGCAAGCCUGAUGCAGCCAUGCCGCGUGUAUGAAGAAGGCCUUCGGGUUGUAAAGUACUUUCAGCGGGGAGGAAGGCGAUAAGGUUAAUAACCUUGUCGAUUGACGUUACCCGCAGAAGAAGCACCGGCUAACUCCGUGCCAGCAGCCGCGGUAAUACGGAGGGUGCAAGCGUUAAUCGGAAUUACUGGGCGUAAAGCGCGCGUAGUGGUUUGUUAAGUUGGAUGUGAAACUACCCCCGCGGGCGUCCAAAACCUGGGGGGAAACUCUGGCGUUUUCCGAAANUUGGGCAGGCCUAAGAAGUCCUUUGGUCAGCAGGGGGGGGNCACGAAAUUCCCACGGGCUGGUAGCCGGGUGAAAAUGGCGUUAAAGAUCCCGCGAGGGAAACCCCGGUGGCGCAAAGCGGGGCCCCCUGAAAAAACNAGACCUCCAGGNGCNACUUGGGACACGAUU